rnacentral:rRNA from 1 species
GCCAUCGGGUCAAACCGGUGGCUGCGUUGGCGUUGCGGGCUCGGUCCGUCGGUGCCCCACAAAGGGCUAUCGGCGUGUCAACCGGCCCGCCCGUCCCCUCCUUCUGGAUUCCCGUUCCUGCUAUUGAGUUAGUGGGGACGUCACAGGGGGCUCAUCGUCGUCGUGCAAACGGCGGCGGUGGGUCCCUGGGGCCCAGAUCGUUUACCGUGAAAAAAUUAGAGUGUUCAAAGCAGGCAGAUCCAAUUUUCUGCCACCGAAUACAUUAGCAUGGGAUAAUGGAAUAGGACCCUGUCCUCCUAUUUUCAGUUGGUUUUGGCAGCGCGAGGACUAGGGUAAUGAUUAAUAGGGAUAGUUGGGGGCAUUAAUAUUUAAUUGUCAGAGGUGAAAUUCUUGGAUUUAUGAAAGAUUAACUUCUGCGAAAGCAUCUGCCAAGGAUGUUUUCAUUAAUCAAGAACGAAAGUUAGGGGAUCGAAGACGAUCAGAUACCGUCGUAGUCUUAACCAUAAACGAUGCCGACCAGCGAUUAGGAGACGUUGAAU